GACGAACGCUGGCGGCGUGCUUAACACAUGCAAGUCGAACGGAAAGGCCCUGCUUUUGUGGGGUGCUCGAGUGGCGAACGGGUGAGUAACACGUGAGUAACCUGCCCUUGACUUUGGGAUAACUUCAGGAAACUGGGGCUAAUACCGGAUAGGAGCUCCUGCUGCAUGGUGGGGGUUGGAAAGUUUCGGCGGUUGGGGAUGGACUCGCGGCUUAUCAGCUUGUUGGUGGGGUAGUGGCUUACCAAGGCUUUGACGGGUAGCCGGCCUGAGAGGGUGACCGGCCACAUUGGGACUGAGAUACGGCCCAGACUCCUACGGGAGGCAGCAGUGGGGAAUAUUGCACAAUGGGCGGAAGCCUGAUGCAGCAACGCCGCGUGCGGGAUGACGGCCUUCGGGUUGUAAACCGCUUUCGCCUGUGACGAAGCGUGAGUGACGGUAAUGGGUAAAGAAGCACCGGCUAACUACGUGCCAGCAGCCGCGGUGAUACGUAGGGUGCGAGCGUUGUCCGGAUUUAUUGGGCGUAAAGGGCUCGUAGGUGGUUGAUCGCGUCGGAAGUGUAAUCUUGGGGCUUAACCCUGAGCGUGCUUUCGAUACGGGUUGACUUGAGGAAGGUAGGGGAGAAUGGAAUUCCUGGUGGAGCGGUGGAAUGCGCAGAUAUCAGGAGGAACACCAGUGGCGAAGGCGGUUCUCUGGGCCUUUCCUGACGCUGAGGAGCGAAAGCGUGGGGAGCGAACAGGCUUAGAUACCCUGGUAGUCCACGCUGUAAACGGUGGGUACUAGGUGUGGGGUCCAUUCCACGGGUUCCGUGCCGUAGCUAACGCUUUAAGUACCCCGCCUGGGGAGUACGGCCGCAAGGCUAAAACUCAAAGGAAUUGACGGGGCCCCGCACAAGCGGCGGAGCAUGCGGAUUAAUUCGAUGCAACGCGUAGAACCUUACCUGGGUUUGACAUGGAUCGGGAGUGCUCAGAGAUGGGUGUGCCUCUUUUGGGGUCGGUUCACAGGUGGUGCAUGGCUGUCGUCAGCUCGUGUCGUGAGAUGUUGGGUUAAGUCCCGCAACGAGCGCAACCCUUGUUCACUGUUGCCAGCACGUUAUGGUGGGGACUCAGUGGAGACCGCCGGGGUCAACUCGGAGGAAGGUGGGGAUGACGUCAAGUCAUCAUGCCCCUUAUGUCCAGGGCUUCACGCAUGCUACAAUGGCUGGUACAGAGAGUGGCGAGCCUGUGAGGGUGAGCGAAUCUCGGAAAGCCGGUCUCAGUUCGGAUUGGGGUCUGCAACUCGACCUCAUGAAGUCGGAGCCGCUAGUAAUCGCAGAUCAGCAACGCUGCGGUGAAAACGUUCCCGGG
rnacentral:rRNA from 1 species